UACAGAGGUGGCAAGCGUUGUUCGGAAUUACUGGGCGUAAAGGGCGCGUAGGCGGUCUUGUCAGUCCCUUGUGAAAUCCCCCGGCUCAACUGGGGAACUGCACGGGAAACAGCAGGGCUUGAGUUCGGGAGAGGGAAGCGGAAUUCCGGGUGUAGCGGUGAAAUGCGUAGAUAUCCGGAGGGACACCGGUGGCGAAGGCGGCUUCCUGGACCGGAUAC
rnacentral:rRNA from 1 species